GAUGAACGCUGGCGGCGUGCCUAAUACAUGCAAGUCGAGCGAACAGAUAAGGUGCUUGCUCCUUUGACGUUAGCGGCGGACGGGUGAGUAACACGUGGGUAACCUAUCUAUAAGACUGGAAUAACUCCGGGAAACCGGGGCUAAUGCCGGAUAACAUGUUGAACCGCAUGGUUCUACAGUGAAAGGCGGCUUUGCUGUCACUUAUAGAUGGACCCGCGCCGUAUUAGCUAGUUGGUGAGGUAACGGCUCACCAAGGCAACGAUACGUAGCCGACCUGAGAGGGUGAUCGGCCACACUGGAACUGAGACACGGUCCAGACUCCUACGGGAGGCAGCAGUAGGGAAUCUUCCGCAAUGGGCGAAAGCCUGACGGAGCAACGCCGCGUGAGUGAUGAAGGUCUUCGGAUCGUAAAACUCUGUUAUUAGGGAAGAACAAAUGCGUAAGUAACUGUGCGCGUCUUGACGGUACCUAAUCAGAAAGCCACGGCUAACUACGUG
rnacentral:rRNA from 1 species